GCAUGCUAAUCAGGAUCUGGAAGCUGCCCUUCACUGUGUGGUUGAGCUCUUCCUGGAGCUCACACCUUCCCAGGGGUGUAGUAAGCCCACAACUUACUGACCUGCGCUGCAACCAGUAUGUCCCCUUUUGAGAGUAUAUUGGGCUAUCAACCGCCUCUGUUCCCAGCUCAGGAAGAGGAGGUCUCUGUGAUGUCAGUGCAGGCUCAUCUCCGGCAAUGCUGCAGGAUCUGGAAGGUCAUCGUGCUGCUCUGCCCCACAUGGCCAACCGCAACCAGCGCCUUGCAGACCGCCAUAGGAUCCCAGCUCCCACCUAUCAGCCAGUUGAAACCAGUCUCCCUCAGUCUGGAAGUCCCGAUCCUCCUCCGCCCACCCAGAUCAUGGAUGAUCAUAUGGCCCUCACCAUCUGGCAGCUGCUAUCUAUUUGCCGUCGUGGCCGGGGAUAUCACUACGUCAUUGAUUGGGAGGGAUAUGGUCCUGAGAAACGUUGCUGGAUCCCUCAGCGUGUCAUCCUUGAUCCUGCUCUCAUCAGGGACUUCCACCGGGGCCCAUCCUGAAAGUCCUGGGGGUUAGCCUGGAGGCUCUCAUUAAGGAUCACCACCUACCUGCCCGUCUGUUUGUUCUUCUGCCACACUCCCAGCCAGCCAAACCCCUCCAACAUAGUUUGCUUCCUUGCCAUCAACCCACUCUCCUCAGCCUCAAAACCCCUGGAUUUCUCCCCAUUGCCACAUUCAUUAUCCUGGCAAUAAAAUCCCCUUUUUACACUAUCUUCCUGUGUC